ACUUGCGCUUCGCCGAAUCUGGAGGCUCCAGUSCCCGUGACGACAUGAUGUCCGCUGGGACAUCAGGGCAUCAGUAGCUUCUCGAGAGGAAACGCGACAGCGGCGAAACCUGGCGGGUCCGAGAAYCUCCCCGUCGUCUGGUCUGCGGAGGAGGCUGCAGCAGGUCGCCGUCCUCCGAGCGUGUYGCCGAAGAGAGCAGGACGCGAUCCGCUCGGUGAGACGUGAGCGACGGGGACAGAYUCGUCCGACCCGCGAUCAGUCAAUAGUGAUCACGAACCCGGAAGUGCAGCAACGUGAUAUAGAAACUGUGAAGUGUUCUCUUCACCUUCGGUCUGUUUGAUUAAACUGACUCCACUUUACACUGACUACACAUGACUUGGCUGGUUUUUGCACAUUCACCCUUUUCCUCAUAAAUCAAACAGGACACUUUGGUGAAUUCAUGUUUUCAUUCUCGUCAAAUGUUGUCAUCAGACACACUGUCCGAGUAUUAACUCAUAUCUUCACUAAUGAUUCAUGURUCAUCCAACAACAACAUGAAACACAGUUGUGGAUCCAGGUGAACCUGAUCUUCACUGUAGGAAGGUGAAUCUCCACUGCUUCAUAUUUAGUGAGGAUCAUUUACAGUAAGACACGAGACGGAGAGACAGUAACGUAGUGUUUCAUGUCAAUCUCACUUGAUGCAGUUGUCUGUUCACUGCAAGAGUGAAGUCCAAAGACUUGAGGAGGAAAUGCCUGUCAUGUGAAGUUGUGAAGGGGAGUUAACUUCUCUCAUGACGUCAGUUGGGUAUAAAGAUGGACCACGUGUCCGCGGCGUCACCCCGUUCGUGAAAACAUACUGUAGCGUUCCCCUCCGGCUCCGCAUCGCCGGCCGUGUCGGUAUAAAUACAGAAUCUUCUACCGACAAACUGUGUUUGUGAGAAUUGAACAAGCCGGUCUUUCACGUUGAACUUUAUGACAGAAGAAUCCACAGAAAAAGAAUUGUGGACAUUUAUUGCUUCAACAUUUUGGCUUAAAGACUGCUGAACAUCAAGAUAGAAAUUCAAAUCUAAACCCUGGAAGCUCUGGUCCUCAUCUGCAUCCAGAGAUUGUUGCUCUCUCUGUUACUGUAUAAACUGUUACUUACACUCAGUUUAUUCCCUUCCUCUCUGUUUGUGGGUGUGUCUGUCAUUCCCAGGCCUCUCUGUGCACUCCUCUCAAUACCUAAUGCUGUUGGCCAUUCUAAGUGCUUCCAGUGGCAAUACUGCCUUUAUGCAGAGGCUCUCUCCUGAAAGAACCUCCUUUACCACCCUCCUCAGUACUUUCUGUCACGGUCGUCUUUUCUUCCUGUUCCUUAAGUUAAGAGGGUGUCCCGUCCACAGCCGCUGUGUGGCUCCACCCUCUUUAUGUGUGUUUCCUUUCCUCCCACACAGUCACCUCUACUUAUGCUGCUCACCAUCCCGACAUCACAAACUGUUCGUCUGGAGUUGAGCUGUGUUGGAUGAAUCCUCUCUGAGCUGCAGACAUGAUGACUCUGUUCACUUUACUGCUCAUUGUCCCACUUGUCUCUGGUGGAUUUGGUCUCACAUGUUCUGCUCCGACAUUAGAAGCAGAAGAAGGUGAAGACGUGACUCUUUGUUGUGAAUUUGGUUCUGUCAACUUGACGGAUUACACAGUGGAUGUUUCAAGAAAUCACCACAGACAGAUCGUCCACCUGUAUCGACAUGGAAAAGACCAACAUCUGAAGCAGUACACACACAGAACCACACUGGACCACAAAGAGCUGRGCAGUGGAAGCAUCCGACUGAAGAUCUCCUCUGUGAUGAAGUCUGACAGUGGAAAUU